rnacentral:rRNA from 1 species
GACGAACGCUGGCGGCGUGCUUAACACAUGCAAGUCGAACGGAAAGGCCCUGCUUUUGUGGGGUGCUCGAGUGGCGAACGGGUGAGUAACACGUGAGUAACCUGCCCUUGACUUUGGGAUAACUUCAGGAAACUGGGGCUAAUACCGGAUAGGAGCUCCUGCUGCAUGGUGGGAGUUGGAAAGUUUCGGCGGUUGGGGAUGGACUCGCGGCUUAUCAGCUUGUUGGUGGGGUAGUGGCUUACCAAGGCUUUGACGGGUAGCCGGCCUGAGAGGGUGACCGGCCACAUUGGGACUGAGAUACGGCCCAGACUCCUACGGGAGGCAGCAGUGGGGAAUAUUGCACAAUGGGCGGAAGCCUGAUGCAGCAACGCCGCGUGCGGGAUGACGGCCUUCGGGUUGUAAACCGCUUUCGCCUGUGACGAAGCGUGAGUGACGGUAAUGGGUAAAGAAGCACCGGCUAACUACGU